UCUGAUGGGCCUCGACUAGCUUGUCGUCGAUGUACUAUAUCUGAUUUAGUAUAUGAGAAAAAAACAUAGUCAUACCAUAGAGAUGUAGUCAAAUAUCGGUGAAUCGCAGUAACAAAUCUUAUUAUUGUGAUGUGAUUAUUGCUUGUCUUCCAGGAUCAACGUGCGUAUUGGUUUUCUAAUCACUAUCAAUUAUAGCAUGAAAAAUGACCAUGUGAGACAUGUAUGUAUUGUUCGAGACUAUUUUUUUAAUGAGAAAAAUCACCAUUUCUCUUGCGAAUAUUCAAUUUUGAGCCCGGACUUGUCUGCAUCCGGGAACGGUAAACAAAAUAAAUACUAAAAAAAUCAAAAAAAAAUCUGUCUUUCACAUGGAAAAUGUUUGUGUGCGUGAGAUCCGUGUCAAUUUACAGCGCGUUCGGACAUCUGGGUAGCUCUCAGUAAGAAAAACAAAAUUGGUCCAAACAGUGCAUAAACAGAAAACUUUUUCAUAGACCCUAAAUUUGUCUUUUAUUUUAUUUUAUUGUUCAUGGGUAGGAGCAGAUGACAAGAGCCAUUUGGCAUCUCUACUUCUCUUGUUUCUUCUCAAAAAAGAAGAGAGAAGCAGGUUGAUCCUUUUGAUUAACCCUUCUCUUUAUCACCGAUGAUUGCUGUUUUAGUGUGUUGGUUCUAUGUGGCUUUAGCACGAUGACUUUUCAACUGUAUACUAUAAUAAGAUUUGCCCGGUUCCAGUAAGGAAGGGGCAAUGACGGUUGCACAUCUUCGGCUCGCUUCAGUGCUUGAAGUCGUCGCUAGGUGGUCUACAAAUCUUAAUGUAGUUUUUAGUAAUUCUUGCGUUCGUUGUACUGCCAUGAUUAAAAAUGAACAGAUCGUUAGUUUUCCAAAAAAAAAAAAACAACGAGUCACCUCUUUCUAGACAUUCGACAUCACGUGCAACGUAUAUCCACUUUUGGGCUUGCUUUUCUAUUUUAAGUAGGAAAAGAGACCAUGUGAGUCAUGCACAUAUCCAUAGAUUAUCUAUCUUAAUGAAAAGGCAGCUCUUUAGUAAUUCUUAAGGCAUUUUCAACGGUGACCCGCAAAUCGCCCGUAUUCGUUCGGACCAUGUUGUCCAGACGUGUUGCGUCAUCUAACGCGGGUCUAUAUCGGUUCGCCGGGCAGCCGGGACGCCCCGCACACCGGAGAUAAACAUAAUGGGCUUUGCGGGCGUCCGAACCGCUCCCAAGCCCCUGUCUGACCGCCCUGGUCCACCAAAAAUCCCCCACCCGCCUCUCCCCCGCUUUCCAUCGAACGCCCGCGCCGUUUGACGCGCCGCAUUCAUGCCGGCCCAGAGCAUGCAUCGACCGACAUUGAUGUCGCGAUUUGCCCGGAUGGUAGGGCAGCCCUAACGAACGUGACCUCUCGGGCGUUGACGACUCAAUGUGGACGUCGCGUCCCAAGGAACCAACUCCGGUCACUGUGCAACAUUGAAGCGGGCUGAUCACCUCUUCGCCUGGCCUGGCCUGCCGCGGCUAUUUAAGUCAUGCUUCAGCGACGCACAGAGCCGCACUCCCCCUCCCAAGCAUCGCCCUCUCCCCUCCCCCGUCUUCGUUCCCAAGCCCCUCGUCCUCUCCGAGCCCAGCGGCGGCGCUGCCGAAGUCUUGGUGCUCUGCGCCGGCAGGCGGAGUUGGUGGAAGCUCCUCCUCUGGCGGUUCUUGGCGCCACCUCCCACGCUCUCUGGGCCCGUCGGCGUCCACGGUGGCCUACUCCUAUGCCAAGGAGGAGAUCGUCAUAUCUUCCCGUGGCGAGGAGGACCAGGCGCCGCCGCAGCAGCUGUCGCAGCAUCCGUCCCGACUCCUCAACGAGGCCGCUUUGACAGACGAAGAUUCUGUCCGUCAGAUCGAGAUAUUGACGGAGCGGCCGCGCCGUCACAUGGAUCCGUCGUCACCAUUGCCGGCGCGCAUCAAGGAGGAGCCGUUGUCCCCACCGCGUGAAGCGCGAGCCUCCUCCCCCUGCCUCCCGCUCCGGCUUGUGAAGGACGAGCCGGCCUUGCCCAGCACAAUCGCGACGUCUAGAUCGGAUGCCUCGUGAAGGACGAGUCGUCGUCACCACCGCACCAUCAUGACGUCCAGAUCGGACACGGGUCAAGGAGGAGCCGACAUCUCCGCCGCGCAACCGCUAUGGCCUCAUGGACGCGCCAUCGUCGCCUCGCCGUCAAGGAGGAGCUGCCGCUCGCGAUCAAGAAGUUGCGGGGACGCCUUCUCCACUACCUCGAAGGAGGCGGUUACGGCGGCGCCUCGGGCUCGAGGACCGUCGUAUCCGAGGCGGAGCACGCGGUGAGGCAACAUGCGAGGUACGACCGGCACAAUGCCAGUCGCCGCUACGUGUUCGCCAAGAGCGACAUGGUGUCGGACUGGGUCCACAACGACCCUGACGUCGCUGCCGCGUGGGCGCUCGACCACUGCGUGACCACCGCGGAGACGGCCGCCAGGUGCCGCCGCCGCCUUGAUGGCGAGCUCGCCAAGAUCGCUGAGGAGUGAUAUCUUAGCGACUGGUCCACCAACGCCGGUCGCAGCAAGGCUGUCGCCAGAGCUCUGAAGGCCACGUCGGCAGUGGCCACGGCGACACCGCACGGCGCAGCGGCUCCUAUGCGAGCUGUAGGCAGCCGCAAGCGCUGGAGGGACCACGACAGCGGCACCGACGGCGGCGGCGGUGCGGCAGGGCAGGCCGGUCACGCGUAUGAGGUGGUCGUCCGGUAUAGCUUUUAGGUCCUUUCUAGUUUUUUUUUGUUAAACGGUCGAAGUAUCAACCUUUUAUGUAAACUAGAUGACUCGUUGCACCAAUGGCGCAAAGGCCGUGAGGGAGCCAAGUAUUGUAAGAAUAUUUAGACACUCAAGUUGAAAACCAAAUAUUGCCAACACUCCCGCAUCCUCUACUUGGAAGCCGCCUUUUCUCACCGGAUCUAACAUAGAUACAUAAUUCUUUAAGAGCAAAUUUCAGAGAAAAUAUAAGGCAUGGAAGGCUUUAAGUUUUACUAUUAAGACCAUAUCACUAUAUCUUCAUUUAGUUUAUUUGCAAAUCUGAAGAUCUAAGAGGACGGUACAUGUGAGAAGCUGUGAAUCCACAACCAAAAAACUACACUAACUUCCAAACAAACAUUUCAAGUUUGGAAGCCACAAAGAAGCUGCCCAGAUCUCUCGUUGUAGUGCAGGUUCAAGAAAAUGGGCUGAAUGGCCAUCAUAGCAACAUGUAGAAGCAGCAAAAAUAUAGGCUUGGUGUGUAACUGAUCAUGAAAGAUAGCUUGGUCAGUUUCUUCAUUGUUGGCUUAUACUGAGAAAGAACAUCAGCCUGCAGAGAAGAAAAAUGGAGGACUGCUUUAUUCUGCGGUACAUCCACAAUAGUACAACAAAUAAAGUAGUUAAAUGUGCGCUAAGAUGUGUAAGACCUUUUAGAUCACUAUUUUAGUGAUCUAAAAGGUAAGUAGUGAUCUAAAAGGUCUUGUAUUAGUUUGAAGAGGGAGUACUUAAUAAGACUGUAGGCCAGUACAUCAAAGUAAUGCUGGCUUCCCAUUGAUUUGAUCAAGCCAAUAUGACAAAGGGAAGGUGAAACUUCAGAAGACUACUAUAUAAAUUGACUGCGAUGUCUUAAUUUAAAACUCUGAAAUGAAGUAAUAAACAUUAAGUCUGAAGGUUGUCACUAAAAAAGCAUAAAAAAAGGCAGACCAGCCAGCAGUGCAUCAUAAUUAAUGGUUCAUCAUGCGCAAACCAGGCAGCAGUAGCCUAAUAACUUAGAUGGAAAAAAUGCAAAAGUCAAAGCACAAGGUGGGAAAUAGGACCGAGCAUUGACAGGUAACCAAAUAAUGAAGGAAUAUCCCCAUGAAAAUCAAGAACGGUAAAUUAGCAUCCAGAAGUACAUAGAAACAAACAGUCCGCUUGGCAGAGUGUGAUCUCAGUAUGAUGUCAAUAGCUGGGACUAAGAAGGUAACCACGUAGAGUGUCACUCCUAAGGGCGUUUUCUUACGUCUCUACUCUCUAGUAAUACAACUCACUAUUGAUUGAUUUAACUAAGGUAUUCUUCAGCUGGGUAUUUAUAAAGGAAAUUCACUAUGCAUUUUUACCAGCGAGUAGAGAGCAACUGGAAGACUUAUGUUUUUAAAUGCAAGAACAAACCUCACCGGGCUGCUGUGCAGACUUAUUGUCAGUAGAAGAUGCUACAGCUGAGCAAAAUUGGCUUGCGAUUUCUUCUAUGCCUGCUGCUCCCUCCUGCAGCAAUUAUUUAGAACAACAAAACAAUUUAAUGUGAGAUGAGAGAAGGCACACUAAAGAAGCACAUCCGUAAGUGUAUAUCUAAUAAUAUAGAUGCUACAAAUCAAUAGAACUAAAAUACUCCAGCAAUUGGGAUCAGCUAGAUCUAUGUCUACAUCACCAAAUCAGAAGUUUAGUUACCUGUGGUUCGCUUGAUAGCAGUUGCAGGUUUUCAUGCGCUGAAGUCAAGAACCGACCAGCAGCGACCAAAUCUGAGCACAACCGUCCCUCACAAUUUGAAUUCUACCCCAGCAAGUACAGACAUGUCCUCUGCAACCUCACACAGAUUCGAAAGCGUCAUAAAGCACACCGCACUACGCCGCCACCACGACCUCCAAAACAUGUAUAACGACUGAAAUAAGCGGACACAUUCUGCUCACACACAAGCAUGACAUAUAAGCAGGAUGAGGACGAACAAUACACGAUGGCGUGCCGGAUCCAGAAAAUUAAAAUGAUCAGCAAUUUAAACACCAUGACAACAGGUACAGAAAAGGAAAUAUGCAUUUUAGCUAGACAGAAAGCAAGCAAACCUCGAUGACAUAACAGAGAUGCAACAAAGCAGAAGAUCGCGAUGCAGCAACACAAGAGAUCGCAGAACCUAAUAAAUAAAUGGACAUGAAGUGGUCAGUGCACCGACAUGCUAUGGAAUAGACAGGUAAAAGAAGAGUCGUUCCCAAACAAAUUAAAGAAUGGUCCAUUUACCUGAGUUAGAGAGGAGAAGCAGGCAAGCAGAGCAGCCAAGAUGGAUGAGCAUACCAAGGACGAGCGGACGGCAAAACCAAACGCAAAAUCAGAAACCAAAUAGAGAUCAAUUUUCAGCUGAACCAGUAGAUUCACUCCUUCAGAUAUGCAUCCUAAUUGGUCCUACAAAGAUCACAAGAAAUUAGAGGAUGGAACUUGACUGCCUUCUAUAUCAUUUGAAGGACAAAAGAAGCUAGAAAAAUUACGAUGAACCACUAACCCCUGCUAAAACUAACUAUCAUUGCCCUGUGAUAUAUGGAUAAUAUUAGAAAGUAGAGAAAAGCACCUGCCAAUUUUACUUCUUCGUGCGAAAGCUGCCAGCUAUGCGCAUUAGUGAUUUCUCACGUGUUCUGCAUAAAGAAAACAUAUACAUAUAAGUAUAUAAUAUCACCAUUAGUGCUUAUGUAAGGCACUGUUCUGUUUACCAAUUGGACUGUAAGGCAAUAAAGGUCAUUCUCUGAACCUUCAUGCAAAUAAUUAAUCAUCCUAAAUGGAAGUAGCUGACUAACAAUAGAGCUUUCUCCUCAUAUCCCUAAAGAAGUGAAAAACAAGCAAAUGGUUGUCAUCUUUUUCUUACCGAAUUCAGCAUCUCCAACCUUAGGUAUAGAUCAUGCCAUUGGUCCACAUAGCAAAGAUCAAUCAUAUCACUUGUCGAAAUGAUGCAGCCGCUGCAAACAAUAGAGCUCUCUCCUCAUACCCCUAAAGAAGUGAAAAACAAGCAAAUCAAAUUUUCAGUAUAGAAGCACACUCACAUAAGCAAACCAGAGGCAAUAUGCACCAUGGCUUGAUCAGAAUGCAAGGAAACAAGAGGAGAAGAGAAAGGCCACAACCUACAAGCUAGAGAAGCAGAGCAUGUCGUUGAGGCGAGGAAGGAGAGAAAUCUGAAUUGCCACGUCGCAUCGUCUCGGAAGGCGAAUCUAAAUCAUCAAGUCGCGUCGUCUUGGAAGGCGAUAACCACAGACACACCCUCUUCCACCGCCGAUUCGUCGCCCUCUUCUUCGGGCAGCCCCCGCGGCUUCCAGCUUCCGUCAUGAUCCAGGAUGCCCGAUUCGCUCCUAGGCCAUGAGCCCAUGAGCAUGCUCUUAAUCCAUGCCACGGUCGUCGUCGCGCCGUGCCUCCGUCCUCCUCGAUCUGUUGCUUGCUUGGAUAGGUUGUGGUGGUAGCGAGGAUGUCUAAAUAAUCAGCACACGACAAAAACAAAUCUCAAAGAAAAUGGAUGUUCGAGACAAAACUAAACCGGCUGUAGGAAACAAUGGCUAAUCGGUCAAAGGAGAUAUGUGUUGCAAUUGGCGUCAGGAAGGGGACUCGACACUAUUGGAGAUGAUGGCAAGAGAAAAAACAGUGAGCUGCACCAUCAGGAUCAGGGUUAGAUGCAAGAAUCAAUUUUUUUGCUAUGGAGACAAAAAUGAGCAAUGAUUACAGAAAACAAGCAGCAGCAACUUCAUAAAGGCUACGAACUCAUCAUGGAAACCUGCCCAGCGCAAGUUUAACAAAUUUUGUAGUAUAUACAGCUAGGUCUAAUUUUAAUUAAGAAUGAACACAAACACAUAUAUAAUCUGGCAAUUAGUACAAGUGGAAUGCAGAUCCGGAGAAGAAAAGGUUUAACUAAUUAGUGUAUACUCAGAUGUAGAAAAGGAUAAAACAUCUAUAAUUCAGGAUUUAAUUAAAGAUCUAGCUGAAUUUAGACAUAUAUCAUAACUUCAUAAGUUCAUAAUAUAUGUAAGGUCUAAAAGCUUGAAAUUUAUGUUCUGGACAUUUUGGCAUUUGCAGAAUAAAGGUGAGGCGAACAGUCGAUCUUGGCAUAUUGAUAGAAAAAUUAUAGCCUUAACAGAAAUUACCUAGCAUAAUGCGACGGCCUCCGUGGUUUCAAAAUGAAUGACUACAAGAACAUGUAAUGUUAGAAAAGAAUUAUAAACAUCGGAAUCGCAUCAUUGUGAUACUAUCUACAGGAAGAAACUGGCAAACCAUCUAAUUAAAUGGGAGGAGAUUGUCAUUGACUAUGUCCCCUCCAUUGAGGUGGUUCAUAAAACUCACUGCUGCAAUGACUGCAAUAUGCUGAGCACUGAAACUCUCCUUGCAGAAGAACUGGUCAAGGACUGGAGCCAACCUACAAUCCAGCUGAACGAAGAACCUAGCAGCAUGUUAUAGACGGAAUCAGUGGGCAAUAAGGAAACAAAAAUUAAUCAAGAGAAGAUGCAUAAAAACAACAAGCAGAUAACCCACAGAGCAAGCAUGCAUAUGCCCAUCAUCCAUAUAAUUAGGCACGAGCAACCAUUGGGUGGCACAUACAUAAAAAAUGAGCAGGUGGUAAUUUCAUUAUGAAGCACGCAGAUUAAAUAUUAGCGUAAGUAGACGGCCUUGCCUUCAUCACGAAGCAGCAACCACUACCCACUGCACACAUACUUUCCAAAGCACUAACGCAAAUAGUCACCAUGCCUACCAAUCAGUAAGCAGCAAUCAUAUUGGUUCCACCCAAGAACCAACCUAAAUUGGCACUGCAGGGCACUGAAAACCGACGACAGCACACAAGCAUGCACACAAACCAAAAUGUACAAAUAUCUUCUCCAAUAAGCAGGGAGGAAGCGAACCACCAGGGCAACUGUGAGCAAACAAAGUCGCACCUUCUUGCAAUAGAAAGAACCAACGAAGUAAGGGGGCAUAUAAGAGCACAUCUCACCUUGCAGUUUGACAGAACCAACAGCGAGGGAUCGAGCAAAUCACCUGGACAGGCAAGGAAACCAAAAAAAAUACAAUGAUUUAGCCCACAGACAUUUUAUUAAACAUUACAAGAGCAAGAAAAUAUCUAAGCCUGCAGAUUGAUGGAAUCGACGGCGAGCGAUUGAGCAAAGCACAUGGACAGGCAUGGAAACCAAGAAAAUGAUUUAGCCCACAACCAUUUUAUUGAUCAGGACAAGAGCAAGAAAUGUCUAACCUUGCAUAUUGACAGAACCGACGGUGAGUGGUCGAGCAAACCACCUGGACAGGCAAGGAAACAAAAAAAACAAUGUUUAGCCCACAGCCAUUUUAUCGAACAGGAUAAGAGCAAGAAAAAUUGUAACCUUGCAGGUUGACAGAACCGAUGCUGAGCAACUCCAGGCCUCUUCCCAUCCCCUUUGUUGUUCCAUACAGGAGCAGUAGUGAGAUGUUGGAGGGAAAGAAAUGGAGAAAAUGAGAUAUGGGGAGAGGGCUCUCACCGCCUCCACCUCCAGCUCGCCCGUAGGGCGUCCUCCCCUGCCUCUAGCCUGAGCACCUCCAUCCCGUGAGCGCUCCAGCCCUUGAAUCCGUCAUCCCGUGAGCGCUCCAGCCCGAGCUCCGCCAUCUCUGCCUCGAGCUCUGACAUCACCGCCACCCGAUCCACCCCGUCGCCCCUCUGGCCAUCGAGAGGGUCAGGGAAGAGAGAGAGAGAGAGAGAGAGAGAGAGNNNNNNNNNNUCCACAUAGGCUCGGAGCAUAGUUCAGACUAAAAGCUACAGCCUCACAGGAGCUUAUGUAACCUACAGAAGAGCCAGCCUCUUGGGGUGUAAAGGCUGAGAGAAAGCAAGAAAGGAGAAAGGUAGGCUGAUGCAUGCAAGGGAAGAGAGAGAGAGAGAGAGAGAGAGAGAGAGAGAGAGAGAGAGAGAGAGAGAGAGAGAGAGCAAAGAAAACAGUAUGCAUGUGAGGAGAGAUGAGUGGCUAUAGAGUGUAGCCUCUAAGGCUCGGUUGGCAGAAAUUGCCGCAAGCGCCGCCCUGUCCUGGCUGAAUGUCCCGCCUCCCUCGAUGGCGUCCCACACGCGUUGGGNNNNNNNNNNNNNNNNNNNNNNNNNNNNNNNNNNNNNNNNNNNNNNNNNNNNNNNNNNNNNNNNNNNNNNNNNNNNNNNNNNNNNNNNNNNNNNNNNNNNNNNNNNNNNNNNNNNNNNNNNNNNNNNNNNNAGAGAGAGAGAGAGAGAGAGAGAGAGAGAGAGAGAGAGAGAGAGAGAGAGGGAACUGAGGGAAGAGGGGAUCACCUGCGUGUGAAGAGGGGGUUGGCCUCGCCGCUCCAGAUCGGGAACCUCUGGGAGGAGGCCAGGAGAGGUGGCGGCCUCCCGGUCGCUCACUGGCACUCGCUGUCGGCCGCAUGAAUCGUCGAUGGCGAGGGUGCGAUGGCCAGCAGCAGCAGGGAGGAGAUGGGAGAGGAGGCGGAGAUGGGUGGCACAGGGAGAGGCGCGGAGGAUGCGGGGGAGGCGGCUGCGGAGCGAGGCGCGGGGGGAGGCGGCUGCGGGAUUGGCUCGUGGGUGUAGGGUUUCUUUUUCCACAUCGCGAUUGGCGAGCAUGACACCCACAAUCCAUUGGCCACAGCCCACAACCGACCCGCCCUUGCUUUUCAUCGACAGAAACAAGCAACAAGCGUGUCGCUGCAAGCCUGCCCCACGCGCAAGCGUGGCCCACUCGUCAGCUGCUUCUGGGCCGAUCACGGGGCGUACAGAAAAACGAGUGGCGGGAUACUUACCAGGUCGACGAAAAUCACUAUUACCGCGCCAGCGAGGUGAAGCGUGCGCGCGGGAUCAUUUUGAAAUCGCGAUGGCGCUGGAUCGGCAGGUACUCUAGGAGGCUUUAUAUGUUAGACUAGGGCCGGAGUGAUGAAGCGCUUCAUUGUGUCUCAGGUGCGACCAUUUUCACACUUGACAAACUUCAUUCAGGAAAAAAAAACAUCCAAAAAAGAGCAGGCAAAACUUUAUAUUCCUAUUCCACAAGAAUUUGUUCACUUACAAUCAUGUUCAACAUAUUUGUGAAUAUCACCAAAAAGGAAGUCUACAUACGGGAACAACAUACACUAAGUGAAAAGAUUGGACACCUAAAAUUUAUAUGCCUUGCAAAGCCAUGAACUCAUUUGUACACUACAUUUCUCGCUGUUCCUCGAGAUAAAGUGGAAUUGAGAAGGCUUAGACAUACUGACAUGGUUGUAAUUUCACAUCCCAGUGACUAUCAAUCGAUAUUCAUCAAUACUCCGUACUUUAUAAGCCAAUCUUGCAAAGAGAUGGAUGGAAACAUAUACCUGCAGUUUCACAAAAGCCACAAUGGACAUUCUAUUAAACGAUAAAUGUAUCUGGCACACCGGAUGUUUUUUGCAAAACUGCCGAACGACCUGAGCGUCGUCAGAUCUCGAUCGCUUGGCUCCUUUCCCCUUUGCUCGUCCUCCUCCCUGCAUCGCCGCGGGAAUAAUAAGUUACGAUAACUGCGCAUGGCCGUCUGUUGUAACCGAAGCCUAUCUUGCUCUGUCACUCUUUUAACGAAGGUAGAAGAAGCACAGCAGUUUUCCGGUGACGAACGCCGCGGCAACGAACGCCUAUAUCUUGGUCUUUUAUUCACUGGACUCGGACACAUACAGGGAGACUCUCGAGCGCACAUACGCUCCGGGCUACAUCUCUCUCAAGCCGCUACUCUCGCCAACAACCUAACCUACACAGUGGAGUCGAACAUGAGCCUGGCUCACGCACGCCACGCUCCCGAUCCGUCCCGCGUGCACACACGCACGCCCGACGCGAUCGCCGUGGCUUAUGCCCAACACUCACCCCCCCUAAGCCACAAACUACAGCAGGUGAGUCCAUCGUCGUCGAUGUCGCCAUGGCCGCCACACCGCACCGCUGCGGCCUCCGCCGCGCCGUCGACGUCGUUGUAGCCGCCACCGCCCUGACGUCGCUGCCAAGCCUGCCACCGUGCCGCCGUGCCCUUCGCGCGCAGUCCCCACGUCCCUGCGCUCCCGGCCCGCGCUCCCGCCGUGCACGUACGCGAUCUGCGCAACCAGGUCCAGCGCCUCGACGCGGUCCACUCCCGCGGUCCCGACGCGCCCGACGCGUCCGGUGCGCACCCAUAACAUGCACCGGUUGCGCCCGACUCGCCGCCGUGCUUAUUGCCCUGCACCGUUGCGCCGUCAACCGCAGCGCAGCGCCUCCACGGUGGUCGCGCCGAGCCGCCGCAGCCUCUGCGCCACCACGCAGGUCCUCCGCGGCCUCCUCGUCUUCGCGAUCGCCGCUGCUCGUUGCGCGCACGGCAUCACCGUGCAUGGCCGCGCAUCGCAGCCGACGCAUCCAUGUCCGCCGCGCUCGCCGCGGACGCCGUGGCCGCAGCCUCCAUCUCCGCCGCGCUCGCCGUGCGCACCGCGGACGCGGCCGCACGCCACGGCCGCCCCCCGAACAUGUGGCUCUGAUACCAAUUGUUGUAACCGAAGCCUAUCUUGCUCUCUCACUCUUUGGACGAAGGUAGAAGAAGCACAACAGUUUUCCGGUGAUAAACGCCGCGGCGACGAACGCCUGUAUCUUGGCCUUUUAUUCACUGGACUCGGACACAUACAGGGAGACUCUCGAGCGCACAUACACUCCGGGCUACAUCUCUGGACCGGGUGCACGCCACGCUCCCGAUCCGUCCCGCAUGCACACACGCACGCCCGACGCGAUCGCCGUGGCUUAUGCCCAACACUGUCUUCCCCGCUGCUGGUGUACUCGGCAUCCGGGAUGCGGCUGGCCGGAGCCGCGACGCACAAGUCCGCCAUUUGCCUGGCCUAGUUCGGGGACGGCGACGCCGUGCGUGCCAUGCCGGCGUGUGGCCACGACUUCCCGCGUGCUGCAUCGAGCGCUAGCUCAGCGUCCCCGUCGCCCCUCCUACCCGACCAGUCACGCGCCGGCGGCUGCGCCGCCCUGAUGUACGCCGUGCACGCCCGAGGGCCCUUGGCCAAGAAACCUGCCGCAUUCACUACGCCAGAAUGCAAUCCGUCAAGGAGGGUGACACCGAAGCUCUUUUUGUGAAGCAUAAGCGCCCUAGUCGGACUUGCAGAUCAGAGCCGGCAAAAUCCACCUGCGGCUCUGCCCCAACGUUGGGGCCAUGGCUGGUUGUGCAAACCAACACUGAUGGGCGCUGCCAGCGAUUUUACACCGAAUGGGGCUCGAUUUUUAGUACCGGUCAAGCCGCGCUGCAAGCCUCGCAAACAUUUUCUGGUGAACUUUUAUGAUGAGGUACCAAAUAAUCCGUUGUUUCUUGUGUGCCCAUGCUGCCUGCCCAGGUACCGGGAGCAACAAGUAGUUCAUGGCAGCUCAUGAAGCAUCAUCACAUAGUUUGAAGAACACCUUUUGAAUUCCUAAAUGUAGUGCACAGGAUGAUAGCUUUUGAGUUCUAUCCACCAACGGUAGUUCAGCUGUUGUUUGAGCUAGUAGGUUAUUUCUUUUCGGAGCUCCAGUUUCAUUCUAGUCUGAACAAUUGCCGGAAUGUUGGGAAAGUAAUCUCUUACAUUUGGGACCAUCUAAUCUCAGACCAGAAUUGUUUGAAGCCAAUGAGGCCAAACUAACCUUUCUCAUAUUAAACUCCAGAAAAUUUUGGUAAACAUUCAACAACUCUGAAGGUUUGCAAUCACAUAGAACUGGAUAACCAUAGUUCUUGUCAACUAUUUGAUUCAACUGCCAAGAUUUGAGUCCACAUCUUUCCAUGAAUUGUAUAAUAUAGUUUGACAAAUUGUUUCUGGUUCAUUGCUCAUGGAGAAUAACAGUAGUGUGCAAGAAUUCAGAGUGUUCUCUGUUGGCAAAACUGAAAAUCUCUAGUCUGGACCCUGGGCACUAUCUCACAUAAAUUUCCCCCGACUUCUUCUCUUUGCAUACAUAUGUAAUAAACACACAAACUGAUGUCAAUUUUUAUUCAGAUGAUGCACCAUCUCAGUGGCAAGUUCAGUUGACCAGAGUAGAUACGAGCUCAGAGCAAUCAGUUAUUUCAGGUAGAUUGCAGUUUUAGCUCGCCGUUUCAGUUUACCAAAGUUUUACGAAGUUCAAAAUUCUUGCCUCUCUUUGCUGCUCAUAUUCUGGGCAAGUAAUUUCAGUGCAUUAUUAUUUUCAGAAUGGUUGCUCUUGUAUCCUAAAGUUACUGGUUCAUUUAGGUAGCAGGAAAUUAUAGUGGACAACAUGUCACAUUUACUCCUCUCCAUCCCAAUAUAAUAAAAUUUACAGCUUCAUUUCCCCUUGAAUUUACCUGAUAAAAAGCGAAGAAGACGCUGAUGUCGAACAGGGACAGUGUUCGGUCGCCUAUCUUGUAUGAUAAUCAUCAUCGGCAAGAAAACUGCAAUGAAGUAGUUCCUUUCUAUCUUUGUGUUGUUUAGAGCGUGUGGACUUCCAUUCUUGCCUAACCUUCCUAAAGCAAGGUAAAUUAUGUAUAAGUCGCAUGGUCAAUCCUGCGUAAGUAGCAUGACAAAUUCUGUGUAAAUACAUGGUAAAUUCUGUGUAAAUGGAUUUUUGUCCAGGGAGAGGGGGAAGUUGUUGAAACCCACUGUAAUUUCUGUGUAAAUAUAAUGGUAUUUUACGGAUCACAUACCUGAUAAUAUAUGUGUAAACAUCGUGGUAACUUUGACCCAGUGAAUUUUAUUGUUGUUGAAAACAUAACCGACCUGAUAAUUUCUGUGUAAUAGAAUGAUAUUUACCACACCGUAGAGCUGAUAACUCAUGUACAAAUAUCAUGAUUUGAGCCAGUAAAAAUGUUUAUUGAAAACAUACCCCUCAUAACUUCUAUAAAAAUAUCAUGGUAAUAUAAAAACAACACAGCUGAUAACUCACAUACAAAUACCAUGGUAACUUUGGACUCGGGAAAAAAAGUUGUUGAGUACUAUACCCUCGGUAACUUUUCUGCAAAUAGCAUGGUAAUAUAUGCACCGCAGAUGUAAUAAUUUAUGUACAAGGAUCACGGUAUCUUUUGACCCGGAAGAAAAAAGUUGUUGAAAACAUACCUACAAUGACUUCUGUGUAAAUAGCAUUAACUUACACCAGCAGAAAACAGGGCUUUCGUUCGGGCCUGGCCAGCCCAUUAGUCCCGGUUCCGCACGAACCGGGACCAAUGGGGUGCAUUAGUCCCGGUUCGUGAGCCCAGGGGGCCGGCCGGGCCACGUGGGCCACUGGUCCCGGUUCGUCUAGACCUUAAACCGGGACCAAUGCGCCUCGCCCCUGGCCCAUGACCAUUAGUCCCGGUUUGUGCCACAAACCGGGACUAAAGGAUUGGUCCUCGUUGCGGCCAAAGUUUAGUCCCACCUCGCCAACCGAAGGGCGCUCACACCGGUUUAUAAGCCCGUCCCUCUCUGCCUUGUUGAGCUCCUCUCAAAAUGAAAAUAGAUGCCCUUAUACAGGGAAUUUGACCUAAAUUCAUAGUGAGUUUCUCUGAAAUUCAUAGAAAUUUAUAUGAAUUUAGGUUGAAUUUUCUCUAUAGGCGCAUCUAUGCUCAUUUUUUUAUGUUAGGGUUGGCGAUCUUUACAGACAUUUUGUGUGUUGAAUAUGCACCAUUCAAAAUCAGUCUCUGCUUUGAAUGGUUCAUUUUGAACACACAAAAAGUCAGGAGUUCAAAUAAGUUCAAGAAAAUGAAAUCCCUUUGUAACAGAUGAGUUUUUAUCCGAAACCCUGAUACUUCGAAAGAGAUUGUCCAUUUUGUUCACGAAGUGCAUCCACCUUUUGCCGGGACAACCAUUUUGUUAAUUUUCAGAGUUCAUUUGAAAUGCUUUUCAAUUUUAGGGUCUUAUAGCUCAAAAUAAUUAGUAAAUGCAUGAUAAAUAACAAAUGAAGUCAGAAAGGAUUGAAAAAUGAUGAUGUGGCUUUGAAUGGUGCAUUUUGAACAUAUAAAAAGUCAGGAUUAUUGAAAUAUAAAAGUAGAAACAAAAUAAAAUAAAUUUUAAUAAAAUUUACGAAACUAAAAUUAACAAAGUAUUUUCUGUUCAAAACAUUAUAAGAAACCUCUAGUAUUAUUGAAACUAAAAUCAUAUAAAAUUGAUGCAACUAAAAUUAUCGAAGUAUUUUCUGUUCAAAAUCAUUAAAAGCAAAAAGAACUUUCAUAAAGAACUUUUUUUGAUAGAAACUUUAAUAGCAAAAAGAAUUAUCAUAAAGUAAAAUAAAUAAGUAAUUAGAAACAAAAUAAAAUAAAAUAAAUAAGUAUUUUGUUGUAAGUAGAAACAAAAUAAAAUAAAUAAAGCAAAAUAACAAAAUAACUAGGAAAAAAUAAAAAAAUGCCACCUACUGGGCCACCACGGCCUGAAUACAACUAGAAACCCAUCCAUGGGCCAGGAUUCAGGCCCGCAGAAGGCCCAGCAGGCCCACAGGCAUAGCAGUGCAAGAUUAGGCCCAGAGGCCUGCAGUUCAGAGGAGUUCAAUGGAGAUGGCGGGGCAGGGCUUAUAAACAGGUCAUGCCGCUCCUCGGCUAGCAAGGUGGGACUAAACAUCCUACCACACCGCGGCUUUGGCAGGCGCAGGGCAUUGGUCCCGGUUGGUGCCACGAACCGGGACCAAUGCCCACCUUUGGUCCCGGUUCGUGGCACUAACCGGUACCAAUGCCCACCCUUUAGUCCCAGUUGGUGCCACCAACCGGGACCAAAGCCCUCUGCUUCCCGCCCUUUGGACUGCUGAAAAGAGGCCUUUGGUCCCGGUUGGUGGUACCAACCGGGACCAAAGAGGUGCAUUUGUCCCGGUCCGUGACAAGAACCGGGACUAAAGCUUCAUGUAUAUAAGGCACACUUGUGAAAAUUUUGUUUUGCAUCUUGCAGUUCGCCCCCGACGACGCGCGCGGAGAGGACGCCGCCAGGCUGCCGGACGUCGUCGCCGUCGCCCCCGCCCCGGAGCCCACGCCAACGCCGUCGCCGUCCGNNNNNNNNNNNNNNNNNNNNNNNNNNNNNNNNNNNNNNNNNNNNNNNNNNNNNNNNNNNNNNNNNNNNNNNNNNNNNNNNNNNNNNNNNNNNNNNNNNNNNNNNNNNNNNNNNNNNNNNNNNNNNNNNNNNNNNNNNNNNNNNNNNNNNNNNNNNNNNNNNNNNNNNNNNNNNNNNNNNNNNNNNNNNNNNNNNNNNNNNNNNNNNNNNNNNNNNNNNNNNNNNNNNNNNNNNNNNNNNNNNNNNNNNNNNNNNNNNNNNNNNNNNNNNNNNNNNNNNNNNNNNNNNNNNNNNNNNNNNNNNNNNNNNNNNNNNNNNNNNNNNNNNNNNNNNNNNNNNNNNNNNNNNNNNNNNNNNNNNNNNNNNNNNNNNNNNNNNNNNNNNNNNNNNNNNNNNNNNNNNNNNNNNNNNNNNNNNNNNNNNNNNNNNNNNNNNNNNNNNNNNNNNNNNNNNNNNNNNNNNNNNNNNNNNNNNNNNNNNNNNNNNNNNNNNNNNNNNNNNNNNNNNNNNNNNNNNNNNNNNNNNNNNNNNNNNNNNNNNNNNNNNNNNNNNNNNNNNNNNNNNNNNNNNNNNNNNNNNNNNNNNNNNNNNNNNNNNNNNNNNNNNNNNNNNNNNNNNNNNNNNNNNNNNNNNNNNNNNNNNNNNNNNNNNNNNNNNNNNNNNNAGAUGUUUUUCCACGUAUUUUAGAUAAGUUGAAUUAGAUUUUUUUGUCAAUUUAUGUAUAUAUAUGUGCAUAUUUAGAAAAAAAUUGUGUUGAACUAGUUAAAUAUAAUAGAACUAGUUAAACAAGUUUAUUUUUAGUAAGUGCUUAGUAGUUGAACUAGUUGAUUUAAUAAAACUACUUUAUUUUACUAUAGAAGUAGUUUAUUUUAGUAAGUACUACUUUAUUUUAUUUAUAGUAAGUGCUUAAUUAGUAGUUGAACUAGUUGAUUUAAUAAAACUACUUUAUUUUACUAUAGAAGUAGUUUAUUUUUAGUAAGAACUACUUUAUUUUAUUUAUUUAUAGUAAGUGCUUAGUAGUUGAACUAGUUGAACUACUUUAUUUUAGCAAGAAAAUUAAUAGAACUAGUUUAUUUUUUUAGUUCAAGCAAUUAAUCCCACAUCGACGUCGACGAUGCCUAUCCCGCAUCCUCGUCGUCGACUCGGCGGAGGAGGCCGGCUUGAUAAGAGGGGCCAUGUCCGGGAUUGGGCUCCGCCGGGCUGGUUUUGGGAGGUGCUACCUUCCGGUGGGCGUAGGUUGGUGAGGAGCUAGCUCGUCGUUGACCCGAUCCUUGUUUGGUGGCGGUCGCGUGGGACAGUGACGGUGCCGAGGCUUCCGGACACCGCGGAGGUGGUACGUCACCGUGUCAGCGAGGAGGACCAGCACGUCCGUCGCUACAUGGUUGCAUUGGAGGGCAGGUUUGACUAUACCUGGCAGGUUCUUCAGGGAUCUCACUGGAGCUAUGAUCCUGUGAUGGUUCCGUCCCUUUGGGUGUCCACCGCCCGCGCCGAUACCCGUCGGGCGCUACUGUUCUAGCUGUACUAGCGAUGCUAUAUGUAUGAUAGUAUUCGAGGUGUAUUAGUGAUAAUAUUCGACGAUGUACGGACGCAUGGAGAUGAUGUAGUUUUGCUUAUAAUUGAAUGCAUCCUAAUUUGAAUACUACUUUAUUUUGUGAUUUGAUUUUGCUUAUUGAAUGCUCAAAGUGGAAAACUACUCCUACUUUGAAUGCUAAAAUUGGAGAGCACUAUGCAAGGCAUAUGCAUAUGAUUAGUUGAUAGCUUAUAGGGUUUUUGUUUUCGCAGAAAUCUAGGAGCCCCCGGCCCCUCCAUCAUCCCCGUCGUCGUCCCUGUCACCGCCCCCUCCGACAUCGAGGUGAGACUAGCCAAAUCCUCUUUUAGAAAGAUAAUUAAACGAUAUUUCGGGUUGACUGUAAGUCUGUCGAGUCUCCACCAUAUAUGAGAGGACGAAGAAUCCCGACUGUUGUCGUGGGGGUAGCUUCUCCUUCGUUCCCGUGUGCUAGACAAUUUGGUGUAAUGCACUCGAGAACGAAAGGAGGAGCUACCAUACCAUCACCGGCGGUCGCAAAUGUCAGAGAGGAAUCAGUGAGGGAGAGUUCCACCAUAUAUAUAUGAGAGGACGAAGAAUCCCGACUGUUGUCGUGGGGGUCGCUUCUCCUUUGUUCCCGUGUGCUAGACAUUUUGGUGUAAUGCACUCGGGGACAAAUGGAGGAGCGACCAUCACCAACGGUCGAAUGUAUACACCACGUGAGCUAAGAGUUUUCAAGAAAAGACUCGACAAACCGAUAGUCAACCCGUGAUGAAUAAUAAUGAUCUAACUUAGGUUUUUAGUACAUAUAUUUAAUUAUAGACGUUUAAUAUUUGAAUUAUGAACAUAGGAAAUGUCGUACUCUGACGACGAAAGUCUUCCGGGGGAGUGCGACUGGUGCCACGACGAUCGAGGUCAGUGCGACAGGCCUCACCUGGACGAAGAUCGGGAGGAGACCUUCGAUGUUGAAAUGGUACGCAACGACGACAAGUGUUAUUUUUUCAUAAUUAAGCACAACUUCAACUAUUUCAAUGUGUACUUUUCAUCUUUUACAAUUCGGCUAGCUUAUUCCAUGCCAUGCAAGACGCUACGUCUUGGAGAGGAUGGGUUUUGAAGACCAUGAAAGUAUGGAAACAAAGAAAAUUCACCUAAGGACCCAUCAUGAUAUAGAUUGAAGUAAAUCUGUAUAAUUCUGAGAGCGUAACCCAUUUUGGUUGCAAAAAUUGGGCAGCAUUUUGCAAGAUGUAUGGUUUUGAUGAGGGUAUGCUUGUCACCAUGGAUCUUGGUGAUCCUGACAUCGAGCAAGACAAUAUGGACAUUUGGGUCCUUGUUGAUACGCCUCUAAUUCUACCGCCAUGUGAGUUUCUCAAACAUAGUUAUUAGCUAAUUUAUAUUGUUCAUUUCAAAAUAGUUGACAGCUUAUUUUCAUCGACAGCUUAUUUUGAUUGUUCAAACAAUGUGCGGAACAUGGUAGACAGAACCUACUACACCGAUGGCUCUGAGUUAACUUAUAAUGAGAAAACUCAUCUGGUCGGAUUUUGUACUGAUCUUGAGAAUUACAAUAUCUAUUGUAAAACUCCUCCACAUUAUGGUCAAUAUGUGCCACUAGUGCACGUGUUGAACUACGGUAACUACUAUGGAGAUACCCUGGUAAGAUUUCUUACUAUUACGACAUCCGUGCAUCUUUUGCAUACUUCUAAACUAGUACAUCAUUGCUAACUAUGAAGUUAUUACUAUGUUUUUAACAGAUAAUUCCAGAGGAUUGUGUGCCUCAUUUGAUGUAUCAGAAUGGUAGGCUUGAUGUUUUGAACAUACAACCAGGUCAUCCUACGAAUCUCAACUGUCCAUAUCGGAUUUCUAAAAGAAGUGGAGACAUGCAAAUCAAAGAAUAAAAAAAAUGUAUGGACAGUCGCAAGGAGGUUCUUGGAAGCAAAAGGAAGCGAAGCGCAAGAAUUGGAGACAUGAUGAUCUCCAUUCUCCAUAAUGGAGAGUCAGGGUCUAUAUUGUUUUAUGCUAUUUUACCUUAAAGAGGGUAUUUCGGUCCUACCUAAUACUGAUGAUCAUGUGCUAAGAACAAUUAAGUAGGGUUGGUUUGAUGACUAUGAGGAUGAUGAUCGUAUGACUGGUUAUUAAUAACGAGUAGAAGUUGUAUGAUGAUGAUUAGUAGGACUUGUUAUUAUAUAUGAUGAUGCAUGAUGCGCGCAUGAAGAGUUAUUAUAUAUCAGCGGGUGAAAUGAACAUGGAUUGGAUUGAAGUGAAGGCAACAUGCAUGUGGUGCAUGUCGAAAGUAGUACAAUCCAAACUUGAUCAAGUUAGGAUUAGUAUUACUUUCGACAUGCACCACAUGUUGCCUUCACUUCAAUCUAAGCCAUGUUUAGGCAUAGCAGUACGUAGCGUUGGUAAACCAAGCACGGAGAUAUAAGAGAGGACACUUCUCUCUAAUAGCUAUCUAAUAACAACCUAAAUUAACCCCCAAAACCCCUAAAUCAGCCCCUUUCAAAAAAACAAAAACCUCAGCUCCAGCCAGAUGCUGACGCGUGGAUGCCUAUUGGUCCCGGUUAGUGUCACCAACCGGGACCAAAGGCCCCUGGCCUGGGCUGGCCGCAGCGGCCACGUGGAGGCCCAUCUGUCCCGGUUCGUGUAAGAACCGGGACUAAAGGGUUAGGGCAUUAGUAACGACCCUUUCGUCCCGGUUCAAAAACCGGGACAAAAGGCCCUUACCAACCGGGACAAUAGGCCCUUUUUCUACUAGUGUUACUUUCUGAAGAUCUGAUAACUUGCUUGCGAAUACGAUGAUAACUUUAAUCUGGGGAAAAAGUUGUUGAAAAUAGCAUGGUAAUAAUCGCAUAUCCGAUAACUUACGUGCAAACACCACGGCAACUUUGACCGAAAGAAAAAAUGUUGUUAGAAAACUACCCUCGAUAAGUUAUGUGCAAAUACCAUGGUUAUAUAUGAACCGCAUACCCGAUACCUUACAUACAAACAUCGCGGUAACUUUGAUCAAGAGAGGGAAAAAUUGUUGAAAACAUACCACCUGUAAGUUAUGUAAAAAUAACAUGAUAAUAUACGAUGCACAUACCCGAUAACUCACGUACAAACACCGCAGUAACUUUGACCAAAAGGGGGAAAAGUUGUUGAAAGACAUACCCCUGAUAACUUAUGUGAAAAUAGCACGGUAAUAUACGAACCGCAUACCCGAUAACUUACGUACAAACUCCACGGUUAGUUUGACGAAGACGAAAAAAGUUUUUGAAAAACAUACCGCUUGUAACUUAUGUGAAAAUAACAUGAUAAUAUACAAACCACAUACCCGAUAACUCACGUACAAACACCGCGGUAACUUUGACCAAGAGGAAAAAAAUUGUUGAAAGACAUACCCCGUACUUAUGUGAAAAUAGGACGAUAACUUGCGUACCACAUGCAUGGUAACUUUCGACUCGACAAAAAAGUCGUCAGAACAUACCGAUAAUUUGAUGAAUUUUUUACGGUUUAGUUUUGAAGAUCUGGUCGCGACGAAUCUUUUAUUUGAAAACAGUUUUUUACAUCUGACCGAUAAUUUGAGCUACAAAACAUUUUGAAUUUUCGGAAUAAGUGGAAUCUAGGAUGACAUCAGCGAUUGUCUCUAGUGUAUAUAUUCAUGUGCAUGUGGAGAAGGGUGGGAGAACCAUUUUUAUGCACCCAGUAAUUUAUGUGGAAAUACCACGAUAACUUCCAUAUCACAGGCGUGAUAACUUAUGUAGCCCAGACGUGAUAACUUCUGACCCGAAAAAAUAUUGUCCGAACAUACCAAAAUCGGAUCUAGUUUCGAAUAUCUCGUCACGACUAAUCUUUUAUGUGAAAAUGAUUUUGCAUCUGACCGACGACUUGAGCUACAAAACAUUUUGGAUCUUUUGGAUAAGGAGAAUGUAGAAUGACAUCGGCUUUUUUGUCCUUUAGUGAAACAAUGUAAUUAGAGAAAAUAAUGCAUGUAGAAGGAGACUGAGUCAUCCUAAUGCAUGCAUGCAUGUAAUUAGAGUGAAGGAGUGAUGUAAUUACAAAGAAGGACGGAGGUGUGUGGCAGUUUUGCUACGUGGCACACAUGUGCCAAAUAUCACGGUCCUCUAUUAAAUAUAAAAACAAAUGGAAACAUAUACCUGCAGCUUCACAAAAGCCACAAUGAAUAUAUAAACGUGGAGUGAAGAGGAAAAACGCAGCAUGCAUUUUGUUCCUCUGAACCCCCGAUGCCGAGCUAGCAGAAAUCAGGGAGUAGCUCUUGUCCCGGCGUUCAUCACUCCGGCACCCCACAACACACAAGACAAACAAACGAAAGGCAGCUUCAAAAAGAGAACAAAGAACAAACGGGUGAUAAGACUGUAAAAAUCCACAGGGAGACAGAAAGUGCGCGCCAUAAAUUUAACUCCGCCGCCUCCCUACAGGCUACAGCGUCGCGUUCAAUCCCUGGCGUAUGCCCCUGCACACAUGCCUCUGCAGUGCCCAUGAUCAGUAGCUUCCGGGACGCAACGAUGCUCUGGCUAUAGCGGCCCUGCCGCUGCCGCCGCUGCUGCGACCUGCAAACUCUGCGUGCGUCGAUCAGUCAUCGAGCAUAUGCAUUGUUUUGGAGAAUGGCCGAGGGAGGGUGGCAGUGGCAGGGGAGCCAUAUGCGCGGUAGGGGAAGGAAACAGUGGCGUGAUCGGCCACCAUGGCAGGCGUGCGCGGGCAGGCCGAGCGAGAGCGAGCUCCCGCUGAUGGACUCGCUGCGCGCAACAGAGCGACACUGCUUCGCUCGCCUGCCGGGCCGGGGCUGCCGCAGGACCUCUCUCGAUCGUGGCGUCCAGCCGUCGACCAGUCUAUGCGUUCCGACUUUCUCUGCAUGCACCGCUCGAGCAGCAGUGGCGCUACUGCGCGAGCUAUCGGUAGCGGGCCGCACCUGCACUCACAAGCAGCAAAAGGCUGAGUCGACGGCUCCAAAUCAAAUCCACCUCUAAAUUCUUUCCCCGUAGGGUCCACUCCCAGGACUCGCUGUCCAGAAAAUUAUCGAAGCAAAUACAAAGGUAAAUCUAGCAGAGUCACCGUACGGCUCCAAGUCGCCAUGAUUUAUUUGAAGGCUGUGAGUGUUGAAGAAAUAGGUUUUCGCCCCGCUAUAUAAAUAUAGCAACCAUCCGAUACAACAUUUCAAUCAACGCUGGGGCUAACAGCACAAACACGCCAAAAAAAUACAAGAGAAAAUAAGAGAAAAAAUGCCAACAACGCCGGAUCAACGAAAGCUACGGCACCCCGCGACCGCUGCGCCCACCGAAGAUAACCACCACGCUUCAAAGCCACCGAGUUGCCAUGUACCAAGCACCACCUUCACGAAGGGAUGCGACGAUGACGACGCUGCUGGCCGGACGAAUCCUAGGAUUUCUCACGGUACACGGAGGGUAGUGGGGGGAGAGGGUCACCCGACGCCCUUCAAGAAGGAUGGCGGCGCCCGCAGGCGUCACCGCGUCGGUGCCGGCAAGACCCGAGAUGGAUUUCUCCCGACCCCUCGCGCCCACCACCCAGGACCAGCCUUCGGCUCCACCACACCGCCGCCCACCAACAUGCGCCAACACAGUCACGAGGACACCGCCGUCGUCUCACCACGGCCAACGAAGCGAGGCCGGCCGGAUCCCAAACGAGACACCCGUAGACAAGGACCGGCAACACCGCAGCCACGAGGGAGGGAACAACCUCCACCGGCUUAGGCGGUAGCAGACCGGGCGUAGCAGCAAAGGCACACCAGACCAAAUGUCCGGUCGAGCCCUGAACGGGCCCGUGAAGCUCCGCCGCCAUGCUGCAGCAGUCGCGGCACAGCAGCCGCCGUCCCUGUCGCGAGGAGCUCGCCAGAACCACCGGAGAACAACCCACCGCAGCCCCCCAGCAGGCCCGCCCCGACCUAGAUCGGGCCCGUAGGGCCUAGAUCUGGGCCAGCCGGGCGCCGCCGGCCGCCGCCGCCAAGGGGCAACGCCACCGCACCGCCGCCGUCCAGAUCCGCGCUGGAACGCCGCCGCCAGGACUACACGCCCAAGCCGGGGUCCAGCGACGGGGGAAGAAGGGGGGCCGCCNNNNNNNNNNNNNNNNNNNNNNNNNNNNNNNNNNNNNNNNNNNNNNNNNNNNNNNNNNNNNNNNNNNNNNNNNNNNNNNNNNNNNNNNNNNNNNNNNNNNNNNNNNNNNNNNNNNNNNNNNNNNNNNNNNNNNNNNNNNNNNNNNNNNNNNNNNNNNNNNNNNNNNNNNNNNNNNNNNNNNNNNNNNNNNNNNNNNNNNNNNNNNNNNNNNNNNNNNNNNNNNNNNNNNNNNNNNNNNNNNNNNNNNNNNNNNNNNNNNNNNNNNNNNNNNNNNNNNNNNNNNNNNNNNNNNNNNNNNNNNNNNNNNNNNNNNNNNNNNNNNNNNNNNNNNNNNNNNNNNNNNNNNNNNNNNNNNNNNNNNNNNNNNNNNNNNNNNNNNNNNNNNNNNNNNNNNNNNNNNNNNNNNNNNNNNNCGCCACCGCCGGACUGCGGGGCGCUGCGCGGGCAACGCCCGGCCGCGCCCGCCGGCGACAGCGGCGAGGAGGAGGGGGCGGCGACUCGCGGGGAGGGGGAGGAGAGGGGAGCCGCCCCAGUCACCUCGCUCGGGGAGGGCGACGCGGGGGGGCAAGCUCGGGGGGUCUUGAGUCACUUACAGGUUCCGAAGGCUGUGAGUGUUGGUUUGGAAUGUGCGUCAUUCGCCGACUGCUCGCACCGGAGGAAAAUUCACCUCCCUCCUCAACCUCCCGUGCUGGCCGUGGCAAUUUUGCCGCCAACUUUUCUCUUUUCCACGACCAUAAGAGCAUUUAGAGCCGGAUAUGACAAAUAUGGCCUCUUAAACGCCCGCGGACGCGCCGGUCACGUUUGCGGGCAGUGACCGGGCACUCCUCAAAUCAACAUAACUGCAUCCGGACAUCUCAUAUUAGAUUCUUAAAUCCAUACAAAAGCAUGCAAACUUAAAAACCUACGUACUACGUAGCUAUUCCUCGUCGGAGAUGUCGACAAUCUCUGUGCCCGGCUCCGGGUACAUGGGCGGCAGCUGCAGCUCCGGUCUCCUCCUCCUCUAUCUCCGCGUCGAGUUCGGCGAAUAGCGCGUCGGACGCCGCCUUCUCCUGCCGGAGGAACUGCUGGUUGGCCUCCACAUAGGCCUCAUCCUGGAUGGACUCCUGGAUGUCCUGCUGCUCCACCAUCNNNNNNNNNNNNNNNNNNNNNNNNNNNNNNNNNNNNNNNNNNNNNNNNNNNNNNNNNNNNNNNNNNNNNNNNNNNNNNNNNNNNNNNNNNNNNNNNNNNNNNNNNNNNNNNNNNNNNNNNNNNNNNNNNNNNNNNNNNNNNNNNNNNNNNNNNNNNNNNNNNNNNNNNNNNNNNNNNNNNNNNNNNNNNNNNNNNNNNNNNNNNNNNNNNNNNNNNNNNNNNNNNNNNNNNNNNNNNNNNNNNNNNNNNNNNNNNNNNNNNNNNNNNNNNNNNNNNNNNNNNNNNNNNNNNNNNNNNNNNNNNNNNNNNNNNNNNNNNNNNNNNNNNNNNNNNNNNNNNNNNNNNNNNCUCGUCCUCCUCCGGAUCCGCCACCUCCAUCGGCUCCGACAGCGGCUCUCCCUCUUCCUCCUCCGGUUGUUGCUGCUCCUCCUCCUCCGGCUUCGGCGUGUCCGGAGGCAGCCCGGCAGCGAUGUGGGCAGCGUGCCUUGCCUGGAUCUCCUCUGCGAUCUGCCUCCGGCGCUCCGGCGUGAGCAUAGUGUACAUGGUGAUCAGUCGCCGGACUAUGGCAAUGCCGGAGAGUGUGGGAGAGCGGGGGGAGGAAGCGGACGGGCUCGGGUGACGGCGCGGAGAGGAAGAAAGUGGAUGGGCUAGGGUUGGGGGACGCCGGCCGGCAUAAAUAGCCGGCUUUGGCCUGCCGGUCAGCCCGGGCGUUUGAGGCACCCGUCUGGGUCAGAUUUUCGUGACCGGUCAGUGACCGGGCGGGCCGCCCGGACGUUUGAGGCCAGUUUGGGGCGCCCGGCUGUAGAUGCUCUAAAAAGACAACCUUCGCUCCCUUCUUGCUGCCCACAACAUCCAUUUCCUUUCCCGCUGUUCACAACGUCCACUAUCACCUCCGGUGGACUGGUAUUGUUCUCGAAGGAGGAGAAGCGCUGGAAUAAUUACACCAACCAUUUUGGUAGACAUAAGGAUUUUUGCAAGGAUUGUCGUAUGUCUCCGCAAAAUGGUUAGCAUAAUUUGUACAAUUAGGUAGGAAGAAAACGAUAACUCGAUGGCAAGAUGUGAUGUGUGGAGUGAAAUCGUCGUCGUGCUUGAAACUGUGAGAAGCAGAGCAUCCAUGUGAAACAUGGAUUCAUGGUCCUCGGAAUGGAGUCACCGUCCACGCAAUCAGCACCCCGAAGCUGAAAUUGUCGCUAGAAACGUGUCGCCGCCGCCAGAAUCGCCCCCAAAACUGGCAUCCCGUCGGAAUCAUCCUCGCCCUUGCUGUCGUGCUUGUAGUCAGCCUAGCCCUCACCCUGUGCUUGGGUUAACUGAAUGUUGUUGGUUUAACUGAUUAUAUGUGUAUUGUAUAUCAAGAAAAAAAUAUAUGUCCCACUGAUGAGUGGGUCCCAUGAUACGGAGGUGGUCAUUAUGGAGACUCUGACUUUGCACAUCACCUCGGCAACCUCCAUACCCAUAUGAAGCGUGCUCCAAUGCAAAUGGAGGCCACCAAUAUAGCGACUCUGCUAGAGCUUCUCUAACAUCGUCUUCAUUGCAAUGUAAGCUUAUUUUAUCAAUACAAGUCUCCUUAGUUUUUUUUAACCAUGCAAGAGGCAUGCAUGUGUUAUAUAAAAGAUUCAGUUGUUUGUUAAGUAAACCUUUUCUGUUUUAAAUCUAAGUAAAAUUGUUCUUAAACAUUGCUAACAAGCAUUUUUAUUUUCUAAUGUUGUAAUAAGAGUUUUCUCUAAUGUACUUUCCUACUUUAUUUUGAAUGUUUCUACUGCAUUAUGUGCAUGUACUUUCCUCGUUAUUUUGAACGUUUCUACUGCAUUAUGUGCAUCUUCAUUUUUGCUGGCUAAGAAACUUAUAAACAUUUACUGAAUGUCAAAUAACUCCUGGUUUUGUGAUUAGAACAUCUGCAUUAGGGGAGAGGGGCGGACACUAACCAUUUUUUGAAUAAACUACCCUUUUAAUGGCUUAUAAAGUACUGGUACCAAGAAAAUAUAAACGCAAUGAGUACACAACCAGCAUCUACACGAUUGAGAUACCCAAAACCAAUAUCAACGCACAUACAUCAAGGAUCACCCUGGUAAAGAGCAAAGAUAUACAAGACCUAAGCUAUGGCUAAACGGAUUAAGAGAGAGAGAGAGAGAGAGAGAGAGAGAGAGAGAGAGAGAGAGAGAGAGAGAGAAGGUACAACAACAAUCCACGCCAAGCAGCUAUUGAGCCAACGAAAAAGAUGGAAUCACAUAGUCUGAACAUGGACACAAACAAGCAAACUGGAAACCAUGAACACACUAAGCAAAGCCAGCGAGGGUUGUCCGAACAUCCGUCGAUGCACAAAUGACGCUAGUCAUAAAUCAAUUGGUGAGAAGAGACGGUACCGCCAAAACCCCAGGUCAUCCGCAGCCCGCCAACGAAGGAGGGCGAGCCCCACCAACAAGCGCCCCACCGCCACCGUCAUUGGCACCUGCGCGAGCUUCGUCGAUCACGGCUACUUGCGGCGGCGACAUGGAAGGAAGGGGACAUAUGUGUUGAUGGUGGCGGGCUAGGGCUCCUCCGGGUCGCCAGAUGUGGGUACGCGGGGCGCCUCACACUAGCCUCUUGGGAAAUUAGAGGCAAUGGGUCGGACGCUGCCAUAAGCGGUAGAGCUUGUUAGGGUGUGAUCCCUCUCGAUGGGCAUGGCCUCCUGCAGUGAAAGAGUCCCAUGGAGGCCGCCGGCAUUUCUUUAGACAAAAGCCGCCGGCAUUGCCUCGCAGUGGCCGGCGAUGGCGUCGAUCGGCACCUCGCUAGAAUCGGGCAGCGAGAAGGGUUUGGGAAUGUUGAGGCAAUCACCUCAGCACAAGCCAAACACACGUUUAUACGGGUGGUGCCAGGGAAACCAGGCCAAAACCAAAGUUACAUUCGUUGCCCCGAUCAUGGCACGUAGAACGAGGUUUCGGCUCCCCCUUUUCUCUUCACGAGCUGAGAUCAACAAAUUCCAACACUGGAAAGUCGAGACUUUCUUUGUAUGUGCCGCUUUCCCACGAGGCCAUGAUGACCUUUCCGGCGACGAGGCAGUACGACCCACUCCGACUCCGACCAAAUCAUGGCCUAAUCACACGCAAAUCCGCAACCUUCCAAGCCCUCCCAUCAAUCAAAAUCAUCCUAUAUAGUGCCCUCGUCACCGGCUCACCGCAACACGCCUCCCCUCCCCCAGUUCCACUCCGUUUCCCGAGCACACGCAGCAUCAUUCAUUCAUUCACAGCACAGGAGCGCUAGCUAGCUAGCUCCCUUCGCUUCACGUGUCCAUCUCCAUCCCCGGCCACCAACCGUCGCCAACUUGCCAUGGAGAAGACCUAGCCAGCUCGCGCCUUUUGGUCCUUGGGAGUUGGGAGAGAGAUCCUCCGGAGCUGGCCAAGGCAUGGCAUUGGAGGCCGCGGUGCUCUCCCGCGCUGCUGCUGGUCUCUUCGGUCGCUGCGCCAUGGCCGGGGCGGGAGGAGCUUGGAAUGGUCUCUUCGGUGGGAGCGAAGGGCUGGCGGGCUUGGACGGCGGGGACUGGGACGCCGCCGUCGCGGCGGCGUGCUCGUCGAUGCUGCUGCCUCCAGCUGCGUUCCAGGACCUGGAUAUCUCCGCUACUGCGCCGCAGGAGGAGUCCGGAGGUCGCGGCGAGAUGAGCGCGGCCGGCGUGGGUCAGGACGAUGCUGCGCCGGUGACGGCGGCGGCGACGGGGCGGAGGAAGCGGCGGCGGACGAGGACGGCCAAGAACUCGGAGGAGGUGGAGAGCCAGCGGAUGACCCACAUUGCCGUCGAGCGCAACCGCCGCAAGCAGAUGAACGAGUACCUCGCCGCGCUCCGCUCCCUCAUGCCGCCCUCCUACGCGCUAAGGGUAACCAUUAACAGCCGCCAUUGACCUCCUCAACCCCUUUCCUUGGUUAUUUACGGAGUAGUUGACACUGAAGUGUGCGCUAUUGCUUGGUACUACGUAGGGUGAUCAGGCGUCUAUCGUCGGAGGUGCGAUCAACUUCGUCAAGGAGCUGGAGCAGCUGCUCCAGACCCUGGAGACGCAGAGGCAGACACGGGAACGCGCGGCCGUCGACGGCGGGGAAGCGCAGCCACCGCUGUUCGCCAACUUCUUCACCUUCCCGCAGUACUCAAUGAGCGUUACCUCGGCACCGGCGCCUCCUCCGGCGAACAACGACGAGGGUGCCGACGGCUGCGCCGAGGCGGAGGCGUCCGGAUCAAAGCCGUCGGCGGUGGCGGACGUGGAGGUGACCAUGGUGGAGAGCCACGCCAACCUGCGGAUGCUGUCCCGGCGGCGGCCGAGGCAGCUGCUGCGGCUGCUGGUGGGGCUGCAGGGACACCGGCUCACGGUGCUGCACCUCAACAUGAGCAGCGCCAGCCACAUGGUGCUCUACUCGCUCAGCCUCAAGGUACGUACGCCUACGCCUACACGUUCGCCCCGUACAAGUAAACAACUCCGGCUUUUCUGAUAUGCAUGCAUAUGGCUCUCAGUCCAAGGGGUUUAUGGCAGUACCUCUAUAUCUGGUUAGCAAUAUCAUACCGCUUCAGUCUGAAACAAGCUGGUGCCUAGGUUUCCGUGCUUUUUGUAUUUUGCGUUGUCCCGGACAGCAAACGCCUCCAAAUUCUCCCAGCUGUUUACUUUAAUGGACCUCAGCAAACCUAGCUAAAACGUCCGGCGUGUUUCCAGUUGGAACCGCUGUCUAGUAACUUAAAUUACUGAUGGGAUCGUACGAUGUGAGCUGGGGCUAUAGCCCUAGGCCUAGUAACCAUAUAUAGUCUUUGCAAUUCCUUCUUAAAAAAUACACAAAAUGCAUGGCGUAAUCUGACGCUAGUAAUAUUUGCAGGUGGAGGACGAUUGCCAACUUACCUCCGUGGAUGAGAUCGCCACCGCGGCCCAUCAGAUCAUCGAGAAGAUCCAAGAAGAGCAAGACUUCACUUCAGCUUAGAGUAGCAUGCAUCUUACCUUAUAGUAGUAUUAUUAUGCAAUGCGCAACAUUAGUUAUUCUAGCAAGUGAAGUGACUCGUGUGCAAACCAAUAAAGCUCAUCACUGCCUACUGUUGGAAUAAGCCACGGCGUGUGUGGUCGAGCUCGUCGGGCGCGUCGGAUGCGCGCGGGACGGGCGGGAUACACUGGUGCCGUCGGGCUCGUCGGGUUCGUCUGGCGUGUCGGUGACGCGCGGAAUGGGCGGGACGUGCGGGGCGCAGCGAAAGCAUGGCGAGUGUGCGUGUGUAGCAUGUGUGUGCAUGUAGUGGUAGUCAGUGCAUGCAUUGUUGAUUAGUCCGUGCAUGCAACGGAUAGAUAAGCUACCUACUUGCGUGGGCCGGUCGAGUAAGUUUGUUAGUGCAUGGGUGGAUUAGUUAGCUAGUGGCCGGAAGUGGUGCGUGCAUGCAUGGAUUAGUGGCAAUGGCCGGGCUGAGUUUGUGCUAAGGGAAAAAGGUGUUCGUGCGCCUGGAAACUUGCCGUGUCCUUGUUCUUCCUUCUACUUCCUCCUUCUUCUUCUGUUGAUCUAGUUCAGAGAAAGAGAGAGAGGUGCAGCGUGAGGGAGAGGUAAAGCUAGGGCAUAACCACGGCAACAACAAUUGGUAUACAGAGCUUCGGUUCGGACGAUCACCGGCGACCAUGGCGCUCGUCCCACACGGCGGCGGCGCGGGCGGAUCGCUGACGAUGGCAAUGCCGAUGCUGACCGCGGACAACUACACGGUCUGGGCCAUCAAGGCGCAGGCGAUCCUCGACGUCCACACCGUAUGGGAGGCGGUGGCGCCGGGCGACGCGGCGGUGAACGCGCGGAAGGACAAGAUGGCGCGCGCGUUGCUUCUCGGGGCGUUGCCGGAGGAUGUGCUGCUGCAGGUGUCGACGAAGCUCACCGCCAGGGAGGUAUGGGACUCCCUGAAGGUGAGGUUCAUCGGCGCCGAUCGGGUCCGUGCGGCGAGGCUGGCGACGCUGCGCGGCGAAUUUGACCGCCUAAAGAUGGCGGACGGUGAGGAGCUCGACGUGUACGGCGGGAGGCUCGCGGCGAUGGCGGCGAGGUACGCCAACCUCGGGGAGACGCUGGGCGACGCGGCGCUCGUCAAGAAGCUGCUGGAUACAGUGCCGGAUCGGCUCUUCCCCGUCGUCGCCGGCAUCGAGCAGUUCCACGACGUUACGACGAUGGCGUUCGACGAAGUGCUCGGGCGGCUGCAUGCGUUCGACGAGCGAGUUCGGCGUCGACGGCAGGACAGCGGCGAGUGGGCGGACGGACAGCUCCUGUUCACGGCGGCACAGUGGCGGGCGCGAGAGCGGCAGCAAGGCGGAGCACGGGACGAUGACAACGGGUGCAGCGUGGCGUCGGGGAGCGGCGGCAACAGCUGCAAGCGCUGCUACAAGUGCGGGGAGCACGGGCACUUCCGGCGCGAGUGCCCACAGCUGCGGAAAGGACUGGCGGCGGAGCAGGCUCUCUUGACCGGUGCCAACGUCGACGACAACAGACUCCUCUUGGUCGUGGCUUAGGGGGUGUGUGUUGGAAUAAGCCACGGCGUGUGUGGUCGAGCUCGUCGGGCGCGUCGGAUGCGCGCGGGACGGGCGGGAUACACUGGUGCCGUCGGGCUCGUCGGGUUCGUCUGGCGUGUCGGUGACGCGCGGAAUGGGCGGGACGUGCGGGGCGCAGCGAAAGCAUGGCGAGUGUGCGUGUGUAGCAUGUGUGUGCAUGUAGUGGUAGUCAGUGCAUGCAUUGUUGAUUAGUCCGUGCAUGCAACGGAUAGAUAAGCUACCUACUUGCGUGGGCCGGUCGAGUAAGUUUGUUAGUGCAUGGGUGGAUUAGUUAGCUAGUGGCCGGAAGUGGUGCGUGCAUGCAUGGAUUAGUGGCAAUGGCCGGGCUGAGUUUGUGCUAAGGGAAAAAGGUGUUCGUGCGCCUGGAAACUUGCCGUGUCCUUGUUCUUCCUUCUACUUCCUCCUUCUUCUUCUGUUGAUCUAGUUCAGAGAAAGAGAGAGAGGUGCAGCGUGAGGGAGAGGUAAAGCUAGGGCAUAACCACGGCAACAACACCUACCAGCUUAGUGCUGAAUCCAUGGAUGAAAAAUAACGAAUUUGUUGAUAAAAUGUGCAUCAGUGGUGUUGCAUGUAGAGUAGCCAGCUAGGCAUGUGUUGCUUCUUCGGUUCAAAAUGGGGGGGCAUGCAAUGGAAUACAAUGCUUCCAGACCAGUUGAAAGUUGAAGGCAGAGAACAAUUCCAUGCAUGGUGGACAACUGGCUGGACAUGACAUAUGGCAUUCCUUGUGGCCUACCGUGCUCCAUAGGAUCGGGCACUGUUAUCAGCUGCUCUUUCCUCAACCUCCUCGGUGUAUCCUGUUCCCCCCGUGAAGCGCCAUUUCCUGCCAAAGCACCAGCAGACACCAUCCCCCUUUUAGUUCCAAACGAGUAGCAUGAUUGAUUAGAUCCUUAAUCGGGUAUACCGGAUACCGGAGUAGUGUAGGAGUAUUUCAUAUCUUCAGUGUACAACAAAAGUCCGUUUCUGCAAGGAAGGCGGAGCCUUUUAGAGAAAGCAGCAUAGCACAGGGACACGAACACAGGC
rnacentral:lncRNA from 1 species